rnacentral:rRNA from 1 species
UACGGAGGGUGCAAGCGUUAAUCGGAAUUACUGGGCGUAAAGCGUGCGUAGGCGGCUGAUUAAGUCAGAUGUGAAAGCCCCGGGCUUAACCUGGGAACUGCAUUUGAUACUGGUGAGCUAGAGUUGAGUAGAGGAGAGGGGAAUUUCCGGUGUAGCGGUGAAAUGCGUAGAGAUCGGAAGGAACACCAGUGGCGAAGGCGCCUCUCUGGACUCAAACUGACGCUGAGGUACGAAAGCGUGGGUAGCAAAC